GACGAACGUUGGCGGCGUGCUUAAUACAUGCAAGUCAACUGAAGCAGUGGUAGCAAUAUCGCUGUGGAGGUGGCGCACGGGUGAGUAACACGUAGGUAAUCUGCCUUCAGGUCUGGCAUAACUCCGGGAAACCGGGGCUAAUAGCAGAUGAUGCAGCGGCUCGACAUCGAGACAGUUGUUAAAGCUAUGGCGCCUAAAGAUGAGCCUGCGUCUGAUUAGCUAGUUGGCGGGGUAACGGCCCACCAAGGCAACGAUCAGUAGCUGGUCUGAGAGGAUGAUCAGCCACACUGGAACUGAGACACGGUCCAGACUCCUACGGGAGGCAGCAGUAAGGAAUAUUGCUCAAUGGGAGAAAUCCUGAAGCAGCAACGCCGCGUGAGGGACGAAGGGCUUUUGCUUGUAAACCUCUGUAGUGAGAGAAAAAAAUCCCAAUCUUUGGGACAUGAUGGUAUCUCAAAAGUAAGCCCCGGCUAACUACGUG
rnacentral:rRNA from 1 species